rnacentral:rRNA from 1 species
GACGAACGCUGGCGGCGUGCUUAACACAUGCAAGUCGUACGGUAAGGCCCUUUCGGGGGUACACGAGUGGCGAACGGGUGAGUAACACGUGAGUAACCUGCCCACAACUUUGGGAUAACGCUAGGAAACUGGUGCUAAUACUGGAUAUGUGCUCCUGCUGCAUGGUGGGGGUUGGAAAGCUCCGGCGGUUGUGGAUGGACUCGCGGCCUAUCAGCUUGUUGGUGGGGUAGUGGCCUACCAAGGCGGCGACGGGGAGCCGGCCUGAGAGGGUGACCGGCCACAGUGGGACUGAGAUACGGCCCAGACUCCUACGGGAGGCAGCAGUGGGGAAUAUUGCACAAUGGGCGCAAGCCUGAUGCAGCAACGCCGCGUGCGGGAUGACGGCCUUCGGGUUGUAAACCGCUUUCAGCAGGGACGAAGCUUUUUGUGACGGUACCUGCAGAAGAAGCACCGGCUAACUACGUG